GAGCGUUCAAACGUUUGAUCUUUCGGGUCCUUCCGGUGCACCGAUGGCAGCCAAAGUUCCCGGCAGCGUCAAGCCCAGACACGUUGCUCUACACGGGCCCGGAGACGGCGGACUUCCAGUCGCUCCUUCCAGCGGAACGAGGAGGAGGACACCUCUACCCUGAGCGUCAAGCCCAGACACGUUGCUCUACACGGGCCCGGAGACGGCGGACUUCCAGUCGCUCCUUCCAGCGGAACGAGGAGGAGGACACCUCUACCCUGAGGGCCAUUUGCUCACCGUGCAGGAGCCAUUUGGAGGAAGAGGUGACUUCAAGGGGAUGGAGGAGAAACAGGAAUCGGACAGUCUUCUGAAAGCCGACAUUCACGGGGUAGAAUCGGUGGAAACGAGAGGCAAGACAGCAAGCGGGGAACCAUCUCUAAUCUUCAGGACAAGAAAUUCAUCCAAAGAUGAUUCCGCAAGGCGUUUUAUGUUGCCAUAAUUUUCUACGAUUCAAGACAUUUGUUUUCCAUCAUGUCUCUGAUGCAUUAAUGCAACCGCUUCUCAAAAAGUACAGCCAAGUCGGUGCUCCAAAAUAUACCCAAGGGACC